rnacentral:rRNA from 1 species
CCCUUAGAGUUUGAUCCUGGCUCAGAGUGAACGCUGGCGGCGUGGCUAAGACAUGCAAGUCGUAACAAGGUAACCGGGGUUUCGGCCUGCUGACGACCGGCGCACGGGUGCGUAACGCGUAUGCAACUUACCUGUAGCAGGAGGAUAGCCCAGAGAAAUUUGGAUUAAUACUCCAUAGUACAUAAAUGAGGCAUUUUAUUUAUGUUAAAGGUUUCGGCCGGCUACAGAUGGGCAUGCGUCCCACUAGCUAGUAGGCGAGGUGACGGCUCACCUAGGCAACGAUGGGUAGGGGUUCUAAAAGGAUGAUCCCCCACACUGGUACUGAGACACGGACCAGACUUCUACGGGAGGCAGCAGUGAGGAAUAUUGGGCAAUGGGCGCAAGCCUGACCCAGCCACUCCGCGUGCAGGAUGACAGCUCUAGUAGUUGUAAACUGCUUUUCUGCAAGAAGAAACGCUGAUACUUGUAUUAGUUUGACGGUAUUGUAGGAAUAAGCAUCGGCUAACUCCGUGCCAGCAGCCGCGGUAAUACGGAGGAUGCAGGCGUUAUCCGGAUUUAUUAGGUUUAAAGGGUGUGUAGGCGGACUUUCAAGUCAGUGGUGAAAUCCUUCGGCUCAACCGGAGAUGUGCCAUUGAUACUGGAAGUCUUGAGUAAAGAUGAAGUGGGCGGAAUGUGUAAUGUAGCGGUGAAAUGCUUAGAUAUUACACAGAACACCGAUUGCGAAGGCAGCUCACUAAACUUUAACUGACGCUGAGGCACGAAAGCGUGGGUAGCGAACAGGAUUAGAUACCCUGGUAGUCCACGCAGUAAACGAUGAUUACUCGUUGUUUGCGAUAUAUUGCAAGCGACUGAGCGAAAGCAUUAAGUAAUCCACCUGGGGAGUACGUUCGCAAGAAUGAAACUCAAAGGAAUUGACGGGGGCCCGCACAAGCGGAGGAACAUGUGGUUUAAUUCGAUGAUACGCGAGGAACCUUACCUGGGCUUAAAUGGGAGAUGAUUUUAUGCGAAAGUGUAUUUCUCUUCGGAGCAUCUUUCAAGGUGCUGCAUGGCUGUCGUCAGCUCGUGCCGUGAGGUGUCGGGUUAAGUCCCAUAACGAGCGCAACCCCUAUCAUUAGUUGCCAGCGCGUCAAGGCGGGGACUCUAAUGAGACUGCCACCGUAAGGUGAGAGGAAGGUGGGGAUGACGUCAAGUCAGCACGGCCCUUAAGUCCAGGGCUACACACGUGUUACAAUGGUCGGUACAAAGGGCAGCUACCUGGUAACAGGAUGCCAAUCUCGAAAACCGAUCUCAGUUCGGAUCGGAGUCUGCAACUCGACUCCGUGAAGUUGGAUUCGCUAGUAAUCGCGCAUCAGCAACGGCGUGGUGAAUACGUUCCCGGGCCUUGUACACACCGCCCGUCAAGCCAUGGAAGCUGGGGUGCCUGAAGUCCGUAACCGUAAGGAUCGGCCUAGGGUAAAACCAGUAACUGGGGCUAAGUCGUAACAAGGUAACCAAGGGC